CAGUCGUACCUAUGGGUAAUCAGCCUUUUGGGUGUGAUUUUGUGGAGCGUGAGGAGUUUAACGCCUUCAUGCCUGCAUAUUCGUGCACUUUGGGUGUACUUGCCCGUAUGGUUGGUUAACAUCAAUUUCGGGCACCAUAAAAUGGCUGGAGGAAUGUAGCUUCGAUCUUGUAUUGAAGUGUUAUAGCCUU
rnacentral:rRNA from 1 species